UACGUAGGGGGCAAGCGUUGUCCGGAAUUAUUGGGCGUAAAGAGCGCGUAGGCGGUCCGAUAAGUCGGCUGUGAAAGUCAAGGGCUCAACCCUUGAAAGCCGGCCGAUACUGUCGGACUAGAGUCCGGAAGAGGCGAGUGGAAUUCCCGGUGUAGCGGUGAAAUGCGCAGAUAUCGGGAGGAACACCGAUGGCGAAGGCAGGUCUCUGGGCCACUACUGACGCUGAGAAGCGAAAGCAUGGGGAGCGAACAGG
rnacentral:rRNA from 1 species